rnacentral:hammerhead_ribozyme from 1 species
AUCCAGCUGACGAGUUCCAAAUAGGAUGAAGUGUCGCACGUUCUGGAU